GGUGGGCUCGUCUCGGACAAGCCCCGGCCGUCUCGAUCCCAGCAUCCGAGAGAGCUCCACAGGCCAGGUCCCCAUCGCCGCGGCGCUUGCCCCACCUCUCCCCCGCCCGGUAGUAGCCUCGCCGCCGUUGCCGAGAUGGGGUUCGUGUCCUUCGUCGGGAGGGUGCUCUUCGUCGCCGCUUUCCUCCUCUCCGCCUACCAGGAGUUUAAUGAAUUCGGUGCUGAUGGUGGACCAGCAGCUAAGGCCCUUCGGCCCAAAUUCAACGUGUUUGUCAAAAAUGUAUCUGCUCAUCUGGGAGUAGCUGUGCCACACAUUGAGUUGAAGCAUGUGAUUGCUGCUACAAUUGGUCUUAAGGGUCUUGGAAGCCUCCUUUUUUUUUGAGCAGCUCUCUCGGUGCUUAUCUCCUGCUGCUGUACCUUGCUUUGAUCACUCCUAUCAUCCAUGACUUCUACAACUACGAUAUGGAGAAGGCAGAAUUUGCAGGCCUCUUUGCGAAGUUCACCCAGGAUUUGGCGCUGAUCGGAGCUCUGCUCUUCUUUCUGGGCAUGAAGAACUCCAUCCCGAAGCGGCAGGGCGGCAAGAAGAAGGCCCCCAAGGCGAAGACGAACUAGGGCUGCUUAGAUAGCUGCACGCCUCAGGCGGGGUGUAUCAGGCCACAGGUCUAUUUCGAAGCAGGCCCAGCGCGAUGCAGCGAAUGCCAUCGAGCUGCGCUUUUACAUGUUUAUCAUCAGAUUCCAUUUUGCGGGGCACGGCCCGGACAAAGGUGUGACCGGGGUGGGUUAGGCGACUAGAUUGCACGAUUAUGUACUUGCGAUUUGUUUGUUGAACUGGGUUGCCGACAGUUAAUCUUCAUUUGAUUUUAUCUUGUUAGCAGCGCAGGAACCGUUGCUGAUUCAGUGGUUGGUAGUUUCUUUCA